UGGGGAAUUUUGCACAAUGGGGGAAACCCUGAUGCAGCGACGCCGCGUGAUUUAGAAGGCCUUCGGGUUGUAAAAAUCUUUUCUAUGGGAAGAAAAUGACAGUACCAUAGGAAUAAGGACCGGCUAAUUACGUGCCAGCAGCCGCGGUAAUACGUAAGGUCCGAGCGUUGUCCGGAAUCAUUGGGCGUAAGGGGUACGUAGGCGGUUAAGCAAGUUAGAAGUGAAAUCCUAUAGCUCAACUAUAGUAAGCUUUUAAAACUGCUCAUCUUGAGGUAUGGAAGGGAAAGUGGAAUUCCUAGUGUAGCGGUGAAAUGCGCAGAUAUUAGGAGGAAUACCGGUGGCGAAGGCGACUUUCUGGCCAUAACCUGACGCUGAGGUACGAAAGCGUGGGUAGCAAACAGG
rnacentral:rRNA from 1 species